rnacentral:rRNA from 1 species
AGCAGCCGCGGUAAUUCCAGCUCCAAUAGCGUAUAUUAAAGUUGUUGCAGUUAAAAAGCUCGUAGUUGAAUUUCGGGAUCAAUUUGUCGGUCGUGCCUCGGUACGUACUGGUAUUAUUGGUUUCUACCUUCUGAAGAACCUUGAUGUCAUUAAUUUGGUGUCUUGGGGAAUCAGGACUGUUACUUUGAAAAAAUUAGAGUGUUUAAAGCAAGCAUACGCUUGAAUACAUUAGCAUGGAAUAAUGAAAUAGGACGUUUGAUUCUAUUUUGUUGGUUUUUAGGAUCGACGUAAUGAUUAAUAGGGAUAGUUGGGGGCAUUAGUAUUCAAUUGUCAGAGGUGAAAUUCUUGGAUUUAUUGAAGACUAACUACUGCGAAAGCAUUUGCCAAGGAUGUUUUCAUUAAUCAAGAACGAAAGUUAGGGGAUCGAAGACGAUCAGAUACCGUCGUAGU